UUCCGGUUGAUCCUGCCGGACCCGACUGCUAUUUGGGUGAGGAUAAGCCAUGCGAGUUGAAUGGGAAACCUAAAGUUCCCAUGGCAAACUGCUCAGUAACACAUGAUCAACUUACCCUAUAGAGAAAAAUAACCUCGGGAAACUGAGGAUAAUGUUUCAUAGUUGAAUUGGCUUGGAAAAGUUUUUCGACGAAAGGGGUAAAAAAAAUGGUUUUUAUCUGCUAUAGGAUAGGAUCGUGUUCGAUUAUGGUUGUUGGUGAGGUAAUGGCUCACCAAGCCGAUAAUCGAUAGGGGCCGUGAGAGCGGGAGCCCCGAGAUGGGUACUGGGACAACGACCCAGGCCUUACGAGGCGCAGCAGGCGCGAAACCUCCGCAAUACACGAAAGUGUGACGGGGUUACCCAAAGUGUUCAAUUUUGAACUGUGGUAGGUGAGUAAUGUUCCCUACUAGAAAGAAGAGGGCAAGGCUGGUGCCAGCCGCCGCGGUAAAACCAGCUCUUCAAGUGGUCGGGAUAAUUAUUGGGCUUAAAGUGUCCGUAGCCGGUUUAGUAAGUUCCUGGUAAAAUCGGGUAGCUUAACUAUCUAUAUGCUAGGAAUACUACUAUACUAGAGGGCGGGAGAGGUCUGAGGUACUGCAGGGGCUAGGGGUGAAAUCUUAUAAUCCUUGUUGGACCACCAGUGGCGAAAGGCAUCACACUGGAACGCGCCCUGAUGGUGAGGGAACAAAAGCCAGGGGAACGAACCGGAUUAGAUACCCGGGAAGUCCUGGCCGUAAACCAAUGCAUACUACGUGAAGACACGGACAUGAGCCGUGUCCUGCCGUAAGGAAACCUUUAAGUGUGCCCCCUGGGAAGUACAGUCGCUAGGCUAAAACUAAAGGAUUGGCGGGGGAACACAAAAGGGUUGAA
rnacentral:rRNA from 1 species